rnacentral:rRNA from 1 species
GAUGAACGCUGGCGGCGUGCCUAAUACAUGCAAGUCGAGCGAACAGACGAGGAGCUUACUCCUAUGACGUUAGCGGCGGACGGGUGAGUAACACGUGGAUAACCUACCUAUAAGACUGGGAUAACUUCGGGAAACCGGAGCUAAUACCGGAUAACAUGUUGAACCGCAUGGUUCAACAGUGAAAGACGGUCUUGCUGUCACUUAUAGAUGGAUCCGCGUCGCAUUAGCUAGUUGGUAAGGUAACGGCUUACCAAGGCAACGAUGCGUAGCCGACCUGAGAGGGUGAUCGGCCACACUGGAACUGAGACACGGUCCAGACUCCUACGGGAGGCAGCAGUAGGGAAUCUUCCGCAAUGGGCGAAAGCCUGACGGAGCAACGCCGCGUGAGUGAAGAAGGUCUUCGGAUCGUAAAACUCUGUUAUUAGGGAAGAACAAAUGUGUAAGUAACUAUGCACGUCUUGACGGUACCUAAUCAGAAAGCCACGGCUAACUACGUG